UAAAGCUUUUGCGGUUUGGGAUGGGCCUGCGUCCUAUCAGGUAGUUGGUGAGGUAAAUGCUCACCAAGCCUAUGACGGGUAGCUGGUCUGAGAGGAUGGUCAGCCAGACUGGGACUGCGACACGGCCCAGACUCCUACGGGAGGCAGCAACUAGGAAUUGUGCGCAAUGGACGAAAGUCUGACGCCGCGACAUCGCGUGGAGGAUGAAGGUCUUCGGAUUGUAAACUCCUUUUCUUACCGAACAAGUUCUGAGUGUAGGUAAGGAAUAAGUGCCUGCUAACCACGUGCCAGAAGCAUCGGUAAUACGUGGGGCACGAGCGUUAUCCGGAUUUACUGGGCGUAAAGAGAAGCGUAGGCGGCUCGAUAAGUUUGGUGUUAAAUCUUCCGGCUCAACCGGAAACAAGCACCGAAAACUAUCGAGAUUGAGUCGAGUAGGGAAGCGGGGAAUUCCUGGUGGAGCGGUUAAAUGCGUAGAUAUCAGGAGGAAUACCAAUGGCGAAGGCACCUCUUUGGACUCGUACUGACGCUGAGGCUCGAAAGCGUGGGUAGCAAAACGGAUUAGAUACCCGUGUAGUCCACGCCGUAAACGAUCCCUGUUAGAUGUAUGUUUUGU
rnacentral:rRNA from 1 species